rnacentral:rRNA from 1 species
GACGGAGGAUGCAAGUGUUAUCCGGAAUCACUGGGCGUAAAGCGUCUGUAGGUGGUUUAAUAAGUCAACUGUUAAAUCUUGAGGCUCAACCUCAAAAUCGCAGUCGAAACUAUUAGGCUAGAGUAUAGUAGGGGUAAAGGGAAUUUCCAGUGGAGCGGUGAAAUGCGUAGAGAUUGGAAAGAACACCGAUGGCGAAGGCACUUUACUGGACUAUUACUAACACUCAGAGACGAAAGCUAGGGUAGCAAAUGGG